UGUUUAUCAAAAACAUGGUUUCUUGUAAUUAUUUAGGAGAUCUGACCUGCCCACUGAAAAUAUUUUGAAGGGCCGCAGUAUUUUGACUGUGCAAAGGUAGCAUAAUCAUUAGUCUUUUAAUUGAAGGCUGGUAUGAAUGGUUGGAUGAGGUAAAUUCUGUUUUAUGUUAAUUGAUGUUGAAUUUAGAUUUUAAGUAAAAAUACUUAAAUGUUAUUAAGGGACGAGAAGACCCUAUAGAGUUUAAUAAAUGUAAUAAUUAAUUGAGUUAAAGUUUAAUUUUUGGUUUUUAUGUAAUUUAUUUAAUUGGGGUGAUUGGAAGAUAAAAUAAACUCUUCUUUAUAUUUAAUAAAUUAAUUAGUUAUAUGAUCCAUAUUUAAUGAUUAAAAGAUUAAAUUACCUUAGGGAUAACAGCAUAAUUCUUUUUAAGAGUUCAUAUCGAAAAAAGAGAUUGUGACCUCGAUGUUGGAUUAAGAUUAGUUAUGGGUGCAGAUGUUCAAUAACUAGGUCUGUUCGACCUUGAAAAUCUUACAUGAUCUGAGUUCAAACCGGAGA
rnacentral:rRNA from 1 species